AGGACGAACGCUGGCGGCGUGCUUAACACAUGCAAGUGGAGCGACGAACCAGGGCUUGCCCUGGGGCAGAGCCGCGAACGGGUGAGUAACACGUGGGUUACCUGCCUCGAUGACCGGGACAACCCGAGGAAACUCGGGCUAAUACCGGAUGUGCCCGCAAGGGGAAAGGAAGCUUCGGCCUCCGCAUCGAGAUGGGCCCGCGGCCCAUUAGCUUGUUGGUGAGGUAACGGCUCACCAAGGCUUCGAUGGGUAGCUGGUCUGAGAGGACGAUCAGCCACACUGGGACUGAGACACGGCCCAGACUCCUACGGGAGGCAGCAGUGGGGAAUCUUGCGCAAUGCGCGAAAGCGUGACGCAGCAACGCCGCGUGGGGGAAGAAGGCUUUCGGGUUGUAAACCCCUUUCAGUUGGGACGAAGCUUCGCCGGUGAAUAGCCGGCUGGAGUGACGGUACCUUCACAAGAAGCCCGGCUAACUACGUGCCAGCAGCCGC
rnacentral:rRNA from 1 species